AUUGAACGCUGGCGGAAUGCUUUACACAUGCAAGUCGAACGGCAGCACGGACUUCGGUCUGGUGGCGAGUGGCGAACGGGUGAGUAAUGUAUCGGAACGUGCCAGUCGUGGGGGAUAACGUAGUGAAAAUUACGCUAAUACCGCAUACGAUCUAUGGAUGAAAGCGGGGAUCGCAAGACCUCGCGCGAUUGGAGCGGCCGAUAUCAGAUUAGGUAGUUGGUGGGGUAAAGGCCCACCAAGCCAACGAUCUGUAGCUGGUCUGAGAGGACGACCAGCCACACUGGAACUGAGACACGGUCCAGACUCCUACGGGAGGCAGCAGGGGGGAAUUUUGGACAAUGGGCGAAAGCCUGAUCCAGCCAUUCCGCGUGCAGGAUGAAGGCCCUCGGGUUGUAAACUGCUUUUGUACAGAGCGAAAAGGUUUCUACUAAUACUAGGAGCUCAUGACGGUACUGUAAGAAUAAGCACCGGCUAACUACGUGCCAGCAGCCGCCGUAA
rnacentral:rRNA from 1 species